rnacentral:rRNA from 1 species
AACGAACGCUGGCGGCAGGCCUAACACAUGCAGGUCGAGCGCGCCCUUCGGGGUGAGCGGCGGACGGGUGAGUAACGCGUGGGAACGUGCCCUUCUCUGCGGAAUAGCCUCGGGAAACUGAGAGUAAUACCGCAUACGCCCUUUGGGGGAAAGAUUUAUCGGAGAAGGAUCGGCCCGCGUUGGAUUAGGUAGUUGGUGGGGUAAUGGCCCACCAAGCCGACGAUCCAUAGCUGGUUUGAGAGGAUGAUCAGCCACACUGGGACUGAGACACGGCCCAGACUCCUACGGGAGGCAGCAGUGGGGAAUCUUAGACAAUGGGGGCAACCCUGAUCUAGCCAUGCCGCGUGAGUGAUGAAGGCCUUAGGGUUGUAAAGCUCUUUCAGCUGGGAAGAUAAUGACGGUACCAGCAGAAGAAGCCCCGGCUAACUCCGUG